GAUGUUUCCUUAUUCCUCUUGUAACAGGUUCUCAUCAACUCAUCCGCAGAUCAGCCUACCAGCAUGAAGGCUUCCGGAAGGUGAGAAGCAGCUCAUCACACCCUCCGUUAAGUUCCCUGGAGACCUUCAGCAUACUUUGGAUGAAUGGACUGGCCCAAGCACUUCAUAAGUUUAAGAGACUUUUGAGCCAAAAGGAGAAGAGUAAAUUACACCCUGUCACCAAUUACAAGGAUGCCUCCCUCAUAGCUCAGCAGUCCCUUUGUAGGACAUCUCAGCCCUGAUCCAGGGACCAAC
rnacentral:lncRNA from 1 species